GCCGGGGUAGUCUAGCCCGGGAAGGCGUCGGCCUCGAAAGCCGAUGUUGCUUGGCAACGCGGGAGUUCAAAUCUCCCCCCCGGCG
rnacentral:tRNA from 1 species